rnacentral:tRNA from 1 species
AAAUAAGAAGCGAAAUAUUGCAAUCAGUUUCGACCUGAUAAAUUGGUUAAAUUAAAACCCUUAUUUA